GUUCCAGAUUUAAUCUCAACUCUUCAUCAACUGCAAAUGGAAGAUGACAGAAACAAGCAUAAGGAAGACUCGGCCUCUUGGAGCCAUCGUGAAGUGCGUCAUGUGGAAGUUGGGCAACUUGCCUGCAGCUUAUUGCCUUUGCUCAGAUUUGCAGUUGUCACUUAGACACUCCUCUACCAAAAUGUCAAAGGCAUUUUCCUGAGGGGACAGUGGACACAUCAUCAUUCAAAGCAAGAAAACAGCUCAUCUGAAACAAAAGUACAAACCCCUGAAUACAUGGGUGAGAGAAGUAAAUGUGAAUUGCACUUUGAAAACUUGAAAAUUUACUUGAAAGAAACUGUCCUAAUAUUUAUCAAAACGACUAUUUUGUGGGGGAACUUUUUAAAGUUCUUAUCUAUGCUAACAGGUUCUUCCAUUUAAAGUAACAGGGCGGCAGUAGUCCAGAUAAAUUACUGAGCAAACUCUAAAUAAUAACUGUUAAGUAAGGUAAGGAUGUUAUCCUAUCAUAAAAUAUUAUCCUUAAUUGUCAGAAGAAACAACUAUUCUUGGUUUUAAAUGAUGACUUGUGAAGAAUAAGUUGCUAAUUGAGUCAAGAAAACUUAAAAAAAACCAAACAAAAACCCCAACUAAAAACAGCCUCCAAAAUUAUCAACCUUCUGACUAAGAGACUAAGGAUGACAUCUAAUCUAUAAUGCAAAAGUUUUUUCCCCUGUUUAAAAGUGCUUUAUAACUAAAUGUGAGUAGUUGUUUUAGUCAAGUAUUGUGACAUUUGCGAAAAGCAGGAAUUUCAGAGAAGACAUGAUUUUGCAGUAGCGUUUGUAUGAGGGACUUUUUCUUAGGAUAUAGCUUUUGGUGUCACUUCUUGGCUUGAAUUUAAUUUACAUGAAGAGAGGCAUGCAAUAGAAUCUUUUUGUAUUGACACUGCAAUUGCAGAUGAGCUGCUUAUUAUAUAAAUGUCCAGAUCUUUCUUGAAUUUUACUAGAAUUUUUAACUACUUAACUUUGACAUCUUCUUUCAGUGAGUUAUACGUGUUGGCUGGUGAGAGAGGAAAAAUAUUUGUAGUGUUAUUUACUUCACUGCUAGGGUCUAGCUUAUUGUUUAGGGGCUUGGGGGUUUUUGCUUUUGCUUUGUUGUCACUGCUGGUUUAGCAGAUACAUGUCCUCAUUAACACCUAAGAACUUAACUUUAAAUUUCUAAUUUUAGCUAAUUGUUCAGCUUCGUAGCAUGAUUAUUAGAUCUAUUUUGCAUACUGAAAUUGCUGCAUUAUGAGACCAUAUGUGCAAUAAGGGUUUUUUUUCUACUUGCAUUGCCUUACAUACUCUGUAUUUUAAGGUGUACUGAAAAUAGCCUGUUGGUAGACUCAGUUGAUCAAAGGAGAAAACUGAUCUUAACUGAGGCACUUGCAGUUAAUUUCCUGUUUUGAAAAUGCUGCUUCUUCCCACUGUGUGCAGGCUCUAAUGUAGCUCGUGUGGUAUAUGUUCUGUUUAACCAGUUAGCAGUAUAUUGUAUAUUUGGGUAUGCACAGCAGUAUUUCUGUCUUCUGAUGUUCUCUCGAACUUACAUAACAUCUCUCAGAGGUUCUGACCUAGGUUUUCUGUGGUGGGCUGAAGGUGCAUAGGUAUGUGUGGUUAACUGAACACAUAGCUAUGCAUAAAUGAAGAUGGCAGGUCCAUAGGCCUUUUCUGAAGAUAUUUUACUUUGCUACAGAAUUGGCAAGCAGUCUAGGAGCUCUCGAGUGCAGGAUCACAGCUGCCAAAAUACUGCUUCUUUGUAGUAUAGUUUCCACCAGUUUUGGAGGAAAAAAACCUCUUGAUUUUUUGCCCUAUUGGGUGGCACACUGUAGUCUGGAUAUAUUCUACAAGUGAAGCUUGACAAACUGGUCCUUAAUUCACUGUCCUCUCAGCUCUACAGAAUUAGUAAACUGAAGCUGUUUGCCAUGGAGGAAAGUAAGUCUGGCAUGACUGGAGCUUGGAAAUACAGCACACUGAUAUCUUAUGGGAACCAGAUUCUGGAUAAUGCAGCCCCACACAGGGGAGGAGAGACCAGAUCUUGAAAUAAGGUUUCUUCCACAAAAAACGUAAUGGAACUAACUAUGCAAUUACAGUUUAUUUUUUAAACUGAAAUUAUGAGAGCAGACGGUAUAAGGAAAGACAGGAACACGUGUAGCAAGAAUGGAACUUUCUUCCACUCUCCCAAGGUAUUCCAACUAAUCUGUUAAAUGCUAAUAGGAAAUUAAGAUCUGGACAAAAGCAGAAUAAAAACUUGCAUAUCUCAUUUUUCUGGUCAGCAUACUGCACAGAAAGGAGUGCAAAGCAGCUUUGUUGAGAGGCAUAGGCUGUUAGUCAGUGUCUCUCCAUAUGUACACUCUAAUUUUAUCAGUCCUAGCUAUAGAACAAGCUGGAGACUUGGGCUCUUUUUCUUUGGAGGCGCACAUCUGCUUCUGCAGCAGUACAAGUUUCCAGUUCAAGCUGCUUUGUUGCAGAGAAGUCUGUUGUUACGCAUUUUCAAGGCAAAGUACUGGAUUUCUACUGACCUUCCAAAUAAUCCAGAGUAAUCCAAAUCAGCUCUGAUCCUAGACACAGUGCACCAAUCCUUUCCUCCCUGGUGCGGGGAGCAUGAAGAGAGAACUGUUGAGAAAAGAAAUGGGAUAGGUUAAUACAUUUUCUUAUCUGGUUUUCUGAACAGAUUAACUUUUGGGUGGCUGUAUUUUUUAACAGCUAGCCAGUGUGCCUCGACUAGUAACAGGUACUGUGCUUUUUCAGAGUACGUUUCAAAGGAAAGAAACCUGCCCUGCUGGUCCCUCGGUGGGUUGGAGGUUGCUGGUGACAGGAGAUGGCGCUGAGAAACCUCGUGAAAGGGCUGGAGCGGCACUGGGGGAAAACCUGCCGUGGGGUUAGGCUUAGGGCAUCCAAAAGAUCACUAAACAGGGGAAAAGUAACUGGGGGGUGUUGGUUUUGAUUGUUUGUUGUGUUUUCCAUUUUUCUCAUCUGAAAAAGGUUUUAGUUCUCUGCCCUUCUUGUGCACAUAAACCUUUAUCAGCCAAAGAACUCUCUUGCCUUUUGGGAAGAAUGAUUAAAGUAAGGUCAAGGGGCUUUUCCUCUGGAGGAGGUGUUCCUUAGAGAUCACUUUUUUCCUGAGUAGCUUCACUGAUAGGAGUCAGCAUCACUGUUGGUAUUGGAACUGCAUCAGAAGCUGGGUCUACUGAAGAACACCGCAACAAUUCUGUGGAUCAAAGUAAAGCAGACAGGUCAGGACAGAGUCUUCACUCUUGAAUGAUUUUGCAUGAAGAGUCGUUUGAUCUGCUCUGCUUUCUUGUUUAUAUGACCAUCUUCUUCCUUGUCCUAAUGCCUGUGCUGUCUUGGCAUUUCUAGAAGCAGUCAGGGCUUCUCCUCAUGUUAGGAAGCUUGGAAGAUCUGCCCUUGUUACCUCAUUUAACUCUCUGAAACUGCAGCUAAAGCGUUUUGUGCAGGAUUUUGACCUUCAUGGGGCUUCUAUGUGGCAAUCACUUUGUUUGCCCUUCCUUGCUCCUUGUUCCAUCCCUCGUACCAGUUUACCUUUCUUCUCCCUUUCUGCUUGUGCUCUGUUACGUUCCUGGCACUGUUCCUCUGCCUGAGCUUUUAGAGGGAUAGUUUGGGUCCCGUUUCCACCUCAGCACAGGGCUAUGGAGAGGGGGCAGAGAGUGACUGGCUGCAGAGCCACAGGGUGACUGCUGUGGUAGUUUUGCAUCUAUAGUGGGGAUGGAACAAAGGGAAUUUUGUCAGAGGUGUCCUUAUGCUUUGCUUUAUUUUUCUGUCCAGUUUUUUUGAUGUACACCUGUUCUUCCUGUUUUUACCAUAGGGACUUAGGAUUACUUAUCACUAAUAUCCACAGCUGAUAUUAGAGGACAAGUUUCAGGUAGUUAUGUAGAAGUUCAGUGUGUGGGCAGGAGCCACUGUCUAAUUAAAGAGGUAUCCUAAUAAUCAUUGGCAUUUAACUGUCCUACUUAGCGUAGGCAGUAAAUGAAUGGCUCACAAAAGCACACUUUAAUUUUUUACUGUGCUUUCCAAGUGCAUAAUCCCCUUAAUCCUUCACUACUUGGAGUUUUUGUGUUAAUUAAAUGGAACCUCUGCAAGCUCGGUGAUUCACAUUUCAGGACAAAUACGUGCACUUAACAGGGGGAAAGUUGGCAUAGAUCUCACUGAGCAACUUGAGGUUUAAAGCAGUUCUUUCAAGGUUAUUUUGUAAAUUAAUAUAUGUUUCUUGGCAGUCAGCCAUAUAGAAUCUUCCCUUCGCUGCUGAAGAGAUUGAUUCCCCAUUAUCACAUAAUUCCUGCUACAAGUGUUAACUGAUUUUCUCUGUGAUGACUGACUUUCUGACUGAGCUUGACUAAAGAGGAAAGCUGACCCCAGGGAUGGAAGUGAUCAACAGGAGCAGGAAUUAAUGGAGGUGAAGGAAGCAGAUACCAGAUCUUUGUCUUCUGAUCUGGCAAUUGACUGUUUCUUUCUACACUGGAACUAAGUAAUGGGAGAAAAAUCCUCUUUCCUGCAAAAGUUCCCAAGGCAGAUUCACAAUAUAAGAGAGUUCUGAAGAGUAGUCAGUAUGUAGCCUGGCACUCCUCUUCCUUUGCUGCAUAUGUAUUUUUUAUGAGUAAGGCUUGUAACAGACAGGACCAGCUGGUUACUUCUGAGCAGGAUUUGCAGAAGAGAGAUGGAAAUAAGAAAAAUUCACCUGUGCAUUUUAAGCUUAUGGUUUCCAUGCUUGGCAGAGUGGGAUUAGGACGUAUAUCACAAGGAAAGGUUAUUGUAUCUAUUGUGCUUGUUCUAGCACAGUCCUGCCUUUUCUCUUCAUGGUCUUGCUGCCAGUUGCAUACCUCCUUUCUUCUAAAAUGCAGAACAACCCUCUGGUUAAGAAGAACACUCAUAUUGCAGAAGGUGAAGGAUAUGUAAGACCAGGAGAGGAAAUGCUGCACAUCUUUGCAAAGAACAACCCUCAAACUGGUCCUUUAUGUUCCUGCUCUGGUUCUAUCCAUUUCUCCACUAGUCCUUGUGACAAUCCUCCUUCCUUAAGCUGGAGAGGGGGAUGAGGUAUUUCUGGCUGUAACAGGUCAUCUAUAUUGUUGGCCUCCUCAGCUGAGGAAGUGGGUUGCUUUACAAAGCCUAGAGCAUGCCUGUAGUAUCCCAUUCCAGUUCUUAUUUACAGUGAGGGAAAUGAUGGUAUCCAACAGUCUUUUUUGUGCCAGUUCCAAGGACAGAAGGGUGCUCAGCCACCUGCUCCUGAUGCACAGCUAACACACAACCUGUGGGAUGGAGAACUUCCUUUGACAGACUGAAGAAAGCAAUGGAUGAAGGAAGGCUUGUUCGUAGCUGGGCGAGGAACUGGGGUAAUACUUCGUGAUAGAAUAAGACUAUCUAUAAUAGUGAAACUUACCUUGACUUUUUAUCACCUGUUUAGAAGGUAAAUGGAGUGUUACCAGUUGCCUGUUUGGAUACUAUUUCCUAAUUGUUAAGUCUCCUCAGAGUGGACCAUCUCCUGUGGAGGUUUUUGCAUCAUUAGUGUUAGUAUCAGAAUGAUUGUCAGAGAAGACUGUGCUUCUGUCCUAUGAAGGAUCUGACAGAAACACUGAAAAUAAGAAACAACAUUCUGCUUUUUAAAAAAUUACACAGUAUUUAUGUUUGAGAGGAGCUAUUGAAGUUUCAGAGUCUCUGUCAUCCAGAGGUAUCCAAUACAGAAACACAAGCAUGCCUGUAGAAGAGAGGGAGGUGAGGGCCAGAAAACCUUUUGCUACAAACCUUUUGCUUUCCUUUGCCACACAACUCUUGCAAGAAAUGAUGAAGCCAAUGAUGAAGCCAAGACAUGUGACAAAUACAAUUUUAAUUACUGUGCCAGGAAAUGGUGCUGGUUCUGGAAGCAAUAAAAAAGCAGCAGGUUCCCCUGCUUAAACUUAACUUUAAAGAGGAUUUGUCUCCUUUUUCCAUGCCUUCAGAAUUCCGCCUGACAUCACCUAGGCCUCCACGUAGUCUGGCUAAGAGGAUACUUUCUGACUUCCAAGAAAAACAAGUGGAAAUGCAAAAAGCUUGCAUCUGGCCUUUUACCUCAUCCUCAGCCACCUGGGCUGCUUGAGAGUUGUCAUGGCAUUCCCAGUUUCUCUUUGCUUGCUACAUAAUAAAUUAAAACAGACUGUGGAGAAACAAGACAUUCACAGAAAGCAGACAACACUUAGAGCUCAAAUAGUUAGAAGGACUAAUCUGCUGCAUGAUCUGGUAAGUUUCUUCAGGUAUUAAUCUGUAUGCUCAAUAAAAGCUCCCUGUGAAGCCAGGAUACAUAUAAUCUAUGAAUUAUUUGUCAUCACCAAAAAAUACUUGUUUUGCACAGCCCUGGUUCUGAACUAUGGACAGUCAGGCUUUGCUCCUCUUUUUUCAGUAAGUAGAUUUACUUCUGCUUCAAGUACAGAGAAGGAAAAUAAGGGUUUUGCACUGUCUUCAGAGUAUUUCAGAUUAUAUGUAGAAUGCACUAACAAAAUGUAAAAUUCCAGCUGAUACCUCUUUUUUUCCCCAAGGAGAAAAUGCCAGUUUUGAGUUUUUACAGAAUGUGUACAUUAAUUCUCAUACCUUGUGUGGAAUAGAAACUAAUCACAAGCAGAGCUAUUCUAUUUUUAUUGUCCACUGGUGCAAAGUUCACGCUCUGACUUACAGACUGCUGGCUUUUCAUGUGUUCUGUUCACCUCUUUAAGUUUGUGAACUUGAUGUAAUAGUCACUUAGUUCUUGUGGCUGAAAGUACUAAUGGAGAAGAGACUUGGGGUAGGGAUAAAAAGAUUUAUUUAAGCACACUUCACAUUUCAGGCUUCAGUAUGACAUGUUUUCUCACAUACUGUUUUAUAUUUGCUUGUAUACAGGUUUAUCAAAUUAUGGUUUGGUGAAAACAAUCUGCUGUCAUUCUUCCAACACAAGAACAGCAUUCUCUUAAGUUGAAAUCACAAAGGGGGGGAAAUCACCUUUUACAUGACAUAUUUUUUAAAUAACAUUUACUGAAGAAAAGGUUAAAAACCAUGUUCCAAAUGCCAUGACUCAAACAUGCAUUUUCUUUUUUUCUCUUUAAGACCAAAGUAACAGUAAUUUAUCAAAGAGAAAGAUACAGUGUGUUGUUAAAACCUUUCCAACCUCAGUUACAAAAAUAGUACCAGAAACGUGUCACAUCUGCAUAUAUCACGUCUGCAACUUACUUAGUCUAAGUCACCUAAAAGAUCAAAGUUGAAUGAUGCAGGACUGAAGGUGGUGCAGUCCAGCUGCACAGUAACAUCUAUUUCUAAGAUCAAGUCAACCACAGCUUUUCUCAGUGUUUCCACUGCCUCUUAAGCCAGUCAGUGUAAUACAACAACAGAUCCAAGCUACUAAGAAGUUCUUUGCAGCUCCAGAUUUUUAUGGCUUCCUCUCUCCUACAUGUAAAGUGUGCAGUGGUCAGGUCAGGUAUCUGGUUCUAGGGUUGAUGGGAGCUGAAAUAAGGUCUAUCUGUACUGGCACAUGAAACCCAAGACUUGGGUUUGAGCCAAAGUUUAGGAGGAGCUGCAGCUCUAGAUUCAAAAGGCUGGCUGGUAUUGGUAACAGAGACCACAAGCGUCACAUGGGACUUUGUGCUACAGAUCUCUUUCUUUAGCAUCAAAUGCUUUCAGACUGCAUGUAAAUUAUAGCUUAGACACCAUUUUUAAGAGAGACCAGAAAGCCUUCUGCCCUUCCAUUACUGCUUUUAAGUGCAGUACUUCUUUAUAUAUCUAGACCAAGUACCACUUGUUAGAAAUAUGAUUCUUAGUUCUAGAGAAAUAAAAUCAGCAAACUAGAUUUUUUUUAUUUAUUUAUAUUUUGUUAAGAGAUGGAAAAAGGUGCACUUUUUCCUCAGUGGCACAGAUGCUGAGAUUCUCUCUAUUUAUGUGAACAGGUGGUUCUUCUGUGUUCCAAAAGGAAAUUCAAAUGUGGUUGACCUUGACAGUCCAAUUCCUAGUUCACCAGAAGAUCUCUGAAUUCUGUGGAUUUGCCACAAUCCUGAUAUUCACCUUGUUCUUCCUCAGGAAAACGGCAGCUGCAGGCAUCUUCCUGAAUUGAGUCUUGAGGUGUGGCAUGCACUAAAGAAAAAUAGCAGAUGUUUACUUUCUGUUGUAUUUAUUCAGCCACCUUAUUUCCCCCUUCCUCAGUCACAAGUGCAGGAAGUCAGCAAUAAAAAAUAUUCCAAAUGAUUCAGUAAUGUGGAAUUAUUUCUUUACAGCAUAUACCCCUGAUAAAACUAGUUUAUCAUACUUGUUAAGAUUUUUUUUGAGCAAUGCUGUUGUCUCCUGAAUUAAGAAUUAUACAGAAGAUCAAGGAAAGGGGUCCUUAUCUCUAGGAAAAGGGACAGGGAGAGAGAGAGAGAGAGAAACCCAAACAAAAAUCCCAACUGUAAACUAUGUUGGAUGUAAUUCCACCUCAUCUUUGUGCUGAACAUUUUGAGCUUCCCUUGGGCAGUGCUGGAUUCUGGCUGCUAAGGAUGACCCUUGGAAGUAAUAAAUGAACUGACCCUUAACCAGACCAGCAAGCCUUAGCUGAGCUUUUUCACCUCCCACAUACACUUCAUUUCUAUGGAUAUGCAUGCACUUAACCUGCAAUGUUGACAGAAUGCCCACAGGUAAUUGCUUUCUGCAAUAAAAAUUCCCAAACUGUUUUCCUUUCA